rnacentral:rRNA from 1 species
UGGGGAAUAUUGGACAAUGGGCGCAAGCCUGAUCCAGCAAUGCCGCGUGUGUGAAGAAGGCCUGCGGGUUGUAAAGCACUUUAAGCCGGAAAGAAGGGCAGGGUGAUAAUACCGCUCUGCAUUGACGUUACCGGCAGAAUAAGCACCGGCUAACUCCGUGCCAGCAGCCGCGGUAAUACGGAGGGUGCAAGCGUUAAUCGGAAUUACUGGGCGUAAAGCGCGCGUAGGCGGUUCACUCAGUCUGCUGUGAAAGCCCCGGGCUUAACCUGGGAACGGCAGUGGAUACUGGUGGGCUAGAGUAUGGUAGAGGGGAGUGGAAUUUCCGGUGUAGCAGUGAAAUGCGUAGAGAUCGGAAGGAACACCAGUGGCGAAGGCGGCUCUCUGGACCAAUACUGACGCUGAGGUGCGAAAGCGUGGGGAGCAAACA